AAAGGUGCAUGAGUGGUAUUUGGCUUGUUACGGGUGGUUGGCUCCUUGCUUGCGCAACCAACUUCCACCUGGCAUGCCUCUUCAGUUGUGUGUUAGUGCUUGUAUUGCACGGAACGCAUCGAGGGUUUCCUGUGUUGCAUUCCUAAACGAUGGUAACGCGCGAUGAAUUGACGUAUAUUUUCGUCUUGUGUUGCACAUGCGAUGCGAGAUGAAACUAAAGGCAGCCUUUUGUGAUCCACUCCUUCGAUGCGCGCGCAUUGUUUUUGUGGCUCAUUGAGCGCUGCUUGGUCUCAUUGAUAUAGAACCUUACGUGGGCAUGAGAUCUUUAAAAGCUCCUUGUUUGCCCUGAUGAUGCUUUUCGAAUACGAUUUCCUACCAUGUCUUGAUGGGGUAGGUUAUAUCGAAUAUGAAUGCUACCUGGGUGAUCCUGCCAGUAGUCAUAU
rnacentral:misc_RNA from 1 species